GACUGGGGUUCCUCCGCUGCCAUCUGAGCAGGAGUGAGAGCAGUAAUGCUCUGUGUAAGUGCAUUGCAAUUCUAACAUCAUUUUCUGUUCUGGCUGUAGAACGGUGUCUUAUGGUUUUUGGGGGGUGGAUAUGGGCUAACAGGACAACGCUGCUCCUGAUGUCUGUGAAAUCAGCACACGAUCUGUUGUUGUAGGGAUGGAGGCUGCGCGUCCGUGGAAUGGUGCUGGGCAUGGGGGGAAACGGAAAGCCUCUGCAGAAGCUGAUGCCAGUGGCCUUCCUCUGAAGCGCAGCCAUGCGGAAAGGCAGAGGAGGAGCACCGAGUGUGACAUGGCACCCAAGAGAGAGAUUGGUGCUGAGCCAAAUGGCAAUAUCUGUGUGAAAGUGGUGCAGCAGGUGUGUUCUGAGAGAGCUUGUCACCGAGCAGCAGCUGAAGCUCCUCUCCAGGCUGGAGGGCUUCCCAGAAGAGCAGGUCCCAGCACAGGGGGAAGACCUUCCCCUGCCGUGUGCCCCCACUCCGACUCCAAGGCCCAGGCUGGAUGUAAACGCAAGGGCUUGGAAGAAGGGAGACCAACAGCAGCGCAGCUGCCUGCCAAAAAGAGAGCGAGGGGUCAGAGCGGAGACAGCGUGCCGGCUCCAGCAGCACAGCCUGGGCCUGCCGCAGCACGGAGCUCCAGGCAAAG
rnacentral:lncRNA from 1 species